AACGAACGCUGGCGGCAGGCUUAACACAUGCAAGUCGAGCGCCCCGCCAGGGGAGCGGCAGACGGGUGAGUAACGCGUGGGAACGUACCUUUUGGUUCGGAACAACUCCGGGAAACUGGAGCUAAUACCGGAUAAGCCCUAACGGGGAAAGAUUUAUCGCCGAAAGAUCGGCCCGCGUCUGAUUAGCUAGUUGGUGAGGUAACGGCUCACCAAGGCGACGAUCAGUAGCUGGUCUGAGAGGAUGAUCAGCCACACUGGGACUGAGACACGGCCCAGACUCCUACGGGAGGCAGCAGUGGGGAAUAUUGGACAAUGGGCGCAAGCCUGAUCCAGCCAUGCCGCGUGAGUGAUGAAGGCCUUAGGGUUGUAAAGCUCUUUUGUCCGGGAAGAUAAUGACUUUACCGGAAGAAUAAGCCCCGGCUAACUUCGUG
rnacentral:rRNA from 1 species